GCCCGGUUAGCUCAAUCGGUAGAGCGUGAGACUCUUAAUCUCAAGGUUGCGGGUGAGUACUAGACAGACAGACAAGAACAGUCACGGCGAUGAAAAUACUAAUUCGUACGUCUAGGUUCGACCCCCGCAUCGGGCU